CAGCCGCCGCGGUAAUACGAAGGGUGCAAGCGUUAAUCGGAAUUACUGGGCGUAAAGCGUGCGUAGGCGGUGAGUUAAGUCUGCUGUGAAAUCCCCGGGCUCAACCUGGGAACUGCAUUCAAAACUGACUGACUAGAGUAUGGUAGAGGGUGGUGGAAUUCCCGGUGUAGCGGUGAAAUGCGUAGAGGUCGGGAGGAACAUCAGUGGCGAAGGCGGCCAUCUGGGACAACACUGACGCUGAGGCACGAAAGCGUGGGGAGCAAACAGGAUUAGAUACCCCCGUAGUCCCUGUCUCUUAUAC
rnacentral:rRNA from 1 species